rnacentral:piRNA from 1 species
AGUUCUCCCGUGAGAGGGUCAUUGCGG